CCGAGCACGCGGCCAGGCCGAGUCCUCCAGCUGUUGGGGUGCGAGUUCUAUUUCUCCUUUGUCUUACCUCUGCGGGAACUGGGCGAGGAGGAGUCAGAGUUCGUCUGGACAAAUAAGGGCUGGAACACGUGGUGGAAAAUAGAAGAACUGUUGGCUUUCACAGAGCUCACAGUCUAAGGUGUUUGUUGGCAGCACCUUACCUGGAUCAGAACUACCCAGAAGUGAUUGUUAUUAGUCUGCUACAA